GAUGAACACUAGCGGCAGGCUUAAUACAUGCAAGUCGAGGGGUAGCAAGAUUGUAGCAAUACAAUUGUUGACGACCGGCAAACGGGUGCGGAACACGUACACAACCUUCCUACAAGUGGGGAAUAGCCCAGAGAAAUUUGGAUUAAUACCCCGUAACAUAGCGAUGUGGCAUCACAUUGCUAUUAUAGCUUCGGCGCUUGUUGAUGGGUGUGCGGCUGAUUAGAUAGUUGGCGGGGUAACGGCCCACCAAGUCUACGAUCAGUAGCUGAUGUGAGAGCAUGAUCAGCCACACGGGCACUGAGACACGGGCCCGACUCCUACGGGAGGCAGUAGUAAGGAAUAUUGGACAAUGGACGCAAGUCUGAUCCAGCCAUGCCGCGUGAAGGAUUAAGGUCCUCUGGAUUGUAAACUUCUUUUAUAAGGGACGAAAAAAGGUCUUUCUAGAUCGUCUGACGGUACCUUAUGAAUAAGCACCGGCUAACUCCGUGCCAGCCGCCGCAGUAAUAC
rnacentral:rRNA from 1 species